UGCCUUUUUCUGUUCCUCACUGAUGAAUCUGCAUGAGCAAUGGGCCAAGGGCCUGGCUGGGUGGCUCCAUCUGUACUUAAAACCUGCAUCUGUAACAUUGUGUCCUGCAGCAAAGACUCAAAGUGGAGCCAAGCCUGAAAAGCACUCUGAAAAAACCCACCACUCAGGGUGGAAACUGGAAGGGGCUUAGGACCAGCCUCAGCCACUCCCCCAGGCCACAAAGCUCCUGGUUUUGGUGGAGAUGGAGGCUCAGAAGCGAGACCACAGUGCCCAGUUCGGGAGGACUCCCCCGACAUGGGAAGUGAAGUCCCAAGGAAGCCCAAGCAGCAGAUCUCUUAUCCUUUGCUUCCAUCUUAACAAAGGGUCGCUCUGCUGCACUUACCCAGUUUCUAAUCUGCCCCAUACAUGGACUAAACAAUGCAGGAAAACCAGAGCCGAGGGGGACAAAAGAAAAAUAUAGCCAACACAGCAUUUCUUUAUUGUGCUUCAGAUCGAAAACUUCCUUGUGACAUUA